rnacentral:rRNA from 1 species
GAUGAACGCUGGCGGCGUGCCUAAUACAUGCAAGUCGAGCGAACAGACGAGGAGCUUGCUCCUCUGACGUUAGCGGCGGACGGGUGAGUAACACGUGGAUAACCUACCUAUAAGACUGGGAUAACUUCGGGAAACCGGAGCUAAUACCGGAUAAUAUAUUGAACCGCAUGGUUCAAUAGUGAAAGACGGCUUUGCUGUCACUUAUAGAUGGAUCCGCGCCGCAUUAGCUAGUUGGUAAGGUAACGGCUUACCAAGGCAACGAUGCGUAGCCGACCUGAGAGGGUGAUCGGCCACACUGGAACUGAGACACGGUCCAGACUCCUACGGGAGGCAGCAGUAGGGAAUCUUCCGCAAUGGGCGAGAGCCUGGCGGAGCAACGCCGCGUGAGUGAUGAAGGUCUUCGGAUCGUAAAACUCUGUUAUUAGGGAAGAACAAAUGUGUAAGUAACUAUGCACGUCUUGACGGUACCUAAUCAGAAAGCCACGGCUAACUACGUG